rnacentral:tRNA from 1 species
GCUGGGAUGGUAGAGCGGUCAAAUACGUCAGACUGUAAAUCUGAUGCCUCACGGCUACGCAGGUUCGAAUCCUGCUCCCAGCA